GGUGUGGGGGCUUACGGAGGCCGGAUCUUGGUGUGGCAGCCACAGAAAUGUGAGGAAAAAAGGCACUUACUUUUAAAACUUGGAGUUGGGGUCCCUGAAGAGAGUGGCAAUAAAAUGAUGGGGCACCCAGAACAUGCCUGGCACAAAUGUUUGUUGAUGGAACAAAUGAAUGAAUAGGUUGCCUGAAGUUGUGGGAGGUCUUCACCUCCACUGGACAAUCUCCAGGGGGAACACCAAGACCAAAGGAAGUUCAGUGCCCUGUGGGUUGUUCUGGAGGCUGCAAGUCCAAGAUCAAGGUGUCGGCUGAUUUGACGUCUCCUGAGGCCUCUCUUCUUGGCUUGCAGGUUCAAAGCCAUCACGAGAGAGACAUUUUUGAUGUAUGCUUCCAGCAUGACAACUUCACAUAGGAUGUAAUAAAACAGCAUGUGCAACAGGAUCCUCUUUGUUUUGUCAGGGUGUAACGACUGCACAGAGUUUUAUGCUACUUAGAAAAUGGCGGAGAUGACUUUUCAUCAGAACAUUUCCUAAGUCACUUUAGGGAACACAAAGUGCAGUUUUAACAGAAAAAAUAUCAUACAAUUGUUAUUUCGUGAAGGGUUAAUAAGAGAAUAUGGAGCCAAAAACUGUGGAGGAAGGAAGUAGGAUGUGCCAGGCAAUUGUUUGGU